AUUGAACGCUGGCGGCAGGCCUAACACAUGCAAGUCGAACGAGUGGCGGACGGGUGAGUAAUGUCUGGGCAACUGCCUGAUGGAGGGGGAUAACUACUGGAAACGGUAGCUAAUACCGCAUACCAUCGGAUGUGCCCAGAUGGGAUUAGCUAGUAGGUGGGGUAAUGGCUCACCUAGGCGACGAUCCCUAGCUGGUCUGAGAGGAUGACCACCAAAACGUGAACUGAGAUACGGUCCAGACUCCUACGGGAGGCAGCAGUGGGGAAUAUUGGACACUGGGCGCAAGCCUGAUGCAGCCAUGCCGGGUGUGUGAAGAAGGCCUGUGGGUUGUAAGGGACUUUCAGCGGGGAGGUUUUACCCGCAGCAGAAGCACAGGCUAACUCGGGGCCAGCAGCCGGGGUAAUAC
rnacentral:rRNA from 1 species